UACGUAGGUGGCAAGCGUUGUCCGGAAUUAUUGGGCGUAAAGCGCGCGCAGGCGGUCCUUUAAGUCUGAUGUGAAAGCCCACGGCUCAACCGUGGAGGGUCAUUGGAAACUGGGGGACUUGAGUGCAGGAGAGAAGAGUGGAAUUCCACGUGUAGCGGUGAAAUGCGUAGAGAUGUGGAGGAACACCGGUGGCGAAGGCGGCUCACUGGCCCGUAACUGACGCUCAUGCACGACAGCGUGGGGAUCAAACAGG
rnacentral:rRNA from 1 species